AACGCGAAGAACCUUACCUAGCCUUGACAUGCAUUGGACCGACUCUGAAAGGAGUCUUUCCCGCAAGGGACCGGUGCACAGGUGCUGCAUGGCUGUCGUCAGCUCGUGUCGUGAGAUGUUGGGUUAAGUCCCGCAACGAGCGCAACCCUCGCCUUUAGUUGCCAUCAUUCAGUUGGGCACUCUAGAGGGACCGCCGGCGACAAGCCGGAGGAAGGUGGGGAUGACGUCAAGUCCUCAUGGCCCUUACACCCUGGGCUACACACGUGCUACAAUGGCGGUGACAGUGGGCAGCUACUUCGCGAGAAGCGGCUAAUCCCCAAAAACCGCCCCAGUUCAGAUUGUACUCUGCAACUCGAGUACAUGAAGGUGGAAUCGCUAGUAAUCGCAGAACAGCAGGCUGCGGUGAAUACGUUCCCGGGCCUUGUACACACCGUAGAGAC
rnacentral:rRNA from 1 species